rnacentral:sRNA from 1 species
GAUCCUGACUGUGUGGACCAAACUCCGUCUGAACAUUGUAUUUUGAUGACGAUAAUAAAUGUCUACUGCCCUUGGUGUACUUAGAUAACUGGUAAACAAAUGGGUAGUAAAGACCUUUAUAAUGAGGGUGGGGACUCAUUUUCAAUCCAGAUAAAACUGUGUUCCAGAUGGAGCCUUUCAUUUUCUGAGGAUUUUAAGCCCCUGUCCUUACUGAGGGCUUUUGUUAUUCCAGGUGCAAUUGCUGGUAUAGUUGAUCAGCCGAUGCAGAACUUCCAGAAAACAUCUGAGGCACAGGCUUCAGCAGGACACAAGGCCAAGGGUGUCAUCUCGGGUGUGGGGAAAGGAAUCAUGGGGGUGUUCACAAAGCCCAUCGGAGGAGCUGCUGAGCUGGUGUCACAGACUGGCUAUGGUAUUUUACAUGGAGCUGGACUUUCUCAGCUUCCCAAACAGCGCCAUCAGCCAAGUGAUCUACAUGCUGACCAGGCUCCAAACAGCCAUGUCAAAUAUGUCUGGUAAAAUUAUUGAGAUACAUGCUCAACUUUACAUCCAUAUUGUAUGUUAAUAGCUCCUGGCUUGCUCUCAAGCUAAUGGGCCACGCUUCCAGGGAGCCCAGGAGUAGCCAUUGUUGGCACUGGCAUCUCAGGCAGCACAAGAGCACUGUAGAGGGACAGGAAGAGGCUGCUGUUGCCAGGUUUGGGGCUGGCUGCACAACUCCUCUGUUCCAUACCUAACCACUCAAGGAAGGUCAUACAUUGGCAGAGAAGCCCAGUCUUGCUAGAGGGCCUGAGAUUCCCUGUGGAACCAGCACUCUAAUUAGAGGUGCUAUUUCUAAUGGGGAGAAAAGGAGCUAAUAAGCAAAACCAAGGGAAAUCUUUGUUCCCAGGAGGAAGCAGGUUCUGUUAAUCAGAAUCAGUCUGAGAAUUGACAAUUACAUUUCAAGCUAAAAUGGGUAAUUGGAUUGGUGAGGGCCCUUUGCCCUUGGGGAGGUUGCCCCAUUGGUAAAUAAUGAGCACUGAUAAGUGACCAUCUUUUCACAGCUGGCCCCGGCCUCACUUUUCUCCUUUUAAACAGGAAAAUGCUUCAGUCUCUGGGCAGACCAGAAGUCCACAUGGCCCUGGACGUGGUUCUGGUGAGGGGCUCAGGCCAGGAGCAUGAAGGGUGCUUGCUGCUGACAUCAGAAGUGCUCUUCGUGGUGAGUGUCAGUGAGGACACACAGCAGCAGGCCUUCCCCGUCACAGAAAUCGACUGUGCACAGGACAGCAAGCAGAACAACUUACUCACAGUGCAGCUCAAGCAGCCAAGAGUGGCCUGUGAUGUGGAGGUAGAUGGAGUCCGAGAGAGACUGUCAGAGCAACAGUACAACAGACUUGUGGACUACAUCACAAAGACAUCUUGUCACCUGGCCCCCAGCUGUUCUUCCAUGCAAAUACCAUGCCCUGUGGUGGCUGCAGAACCUCCCCCCUCCACUGUUAAAACAUACCAUUAUUUGGUUGAUCCACAUUUUGCUCAGGUCUUCCUUAGUAAAUUUACCAUGGUGAAAAAUAAAGCCCUGAGGAAAGGGUUUCCUUGAGUCCCCUCUGAGGUGUUGUUUAUUCCUGCUUGUGUGAUUGAUUGAUUUAGUUUUUGGGUUUCUUUGAGACAGAGUCUCACUGCAUUGCCCUUGCUGACCUCAAAUUCUGGGGUUCAAGCAAUCCUCCCACCUCAACCCACAAGUAGCUAGGACUGCAAGCACCUGCCACCAUAAAGGGCUGCAUUUUUUUAAAAAGCCUAGGCAGCUCUAACAUCUGAUAUGGACACAAGGCCAACAGUUUCCUUAUUUACAUCCUUACCUCUAAAAGAUACUUCAAAGUGACAAAAACGUGUUCCUUCCCCGCUUAGAGACAAUGAUUAACAGGGCCCUAUAUGUUCUUACCACAUACAGAGGAUGCAUUUAUUUUUGCUCUAUGAUACUUGCAAAAAUCUCUACUGUAAUUAAUUUGGAUCUAUUAACUCUCUGUUCCAUCAUAGAAUGUGGCCAGGCCUUACAAUGGAGAGCCAGAGUUAAAACUUCAAGUUGCAUCUGUUUUUGGGCUGAGUCACCACCUUUGCCUCAUGCUCCUUUGUCUGCAAAGGCCUAGGAUUCUUUAAAUGAAAUGCUUAGGACUUUGUGGCUUGUUACAUUUGUCAUUUAACUGCAGUGCUAUUCUUUGAAAGCUGCUAUGUGUAUUUUCUCUGAAGUCUGCAUUUUACUAAAAUUUACAACAGUCUGAUUGAUUGAUUACUGUCCAGGUACAUUUUAGAAAAAGUGUUCUUCCAGUUUGUUUUACUAAGCAAACUUUGAGUAAAUCCCUUGUCCUAUAUUGAAUCCAGUCCCAAAGUGUUCAGGUGAGUUUCUCUAGUUCCGUAAACAAAACAUACAUAGUGGGAACUCCCUGGUAUGCCAUAGAGCACACAAGAACCCCAAUAUUAAUGCUAACAAUUAUACCAGUCCAUUUUGUUUAUUCUGUGGAAUUGACUUGACAAAGCAUGAAGAUAUUCCCAGUGUCCGUCUGAUAAUAUUUUGCAUCUAAGAAUGGGUUUGACUCAAGAUAUUGGGUUACCAAGAUGUCUUAAAUGUUCAGUAAAUAUCUUACAGUCCAGUAGCUUAGAACAUGUUUGCUGAUUGAUAUUACAUUUAAACUUGGGGCUACAGCUUGUUACCUAGAAUUUUGAGAUACUAAGAGAAUGCAAUUUUAAAUGCCCACUGGUUUUAUUUGUUUUGGAGAGAGGGUCUCAUUCUGUCACCCAGGCUAGAGUACAGUGGGAACAGUCAUGGCUCACUGCAGCUUAAGCUCACUGCCUGGGCUCAAGUGAUCUUACUCCAGCCCCCCAAGCAGCUGGGACUACACCACCACAGGUAUGCACCACCAUACCUGGCUGAUUUUUUAAAUUUUUUCUAGAGAUGAGGUCUCACUAUGUUGCCCAGGCUGGUCUCAUACUCCUCAGUUCAAGCAUUCCUCCCACCUCCACCUCCCAAACUGCUGGGAUUACAAGUGUGAGCCACCAUGCCCAACACCCACUGAUCUUUAACUCUCACAUGUUGGGCAUAAGAAGUCACUAUAUAAUUGUUACUGGAAAGCAAGACUUAACGAACAAUUCUGACUAUGAAAAAUGUCUCUUUCAGUUUGUUCUGUAAAUACUCAUUUAGAAAAGUGACAGCUGUCAACCUCAGAGUAACUAUUUCUAAAAAUGUAAAUAUGUAUUAAUCCUUGUAUCUUUUAUGGUAAUUUUGCAUAUUGAUAUGAAUUAUAUAAAAUUGUUUAAAAUAAAAGGUGUCCUUGAAUUACUGACCACCCAUAGAUGUCUAUUGUUACCAGGUUUUACAAUGCAAAUUUUCACUAAUACCUGGGUUUAAUACAGCUCACAUCACUGAAUGUUACACAUGAGUUUAAAUGGGUAAUAUACAGGUUUUGUUAUAAUAAAGUUACUGAUUAAAUUA